GCUCUGCUCACCCCUGUAUUCACAGUGUUCUCUCCAUCUCUCUUAGCAUUCACACAGUUUUAAGCUCCAGAUCCAUCUUCUCCGUCAGACAAACUGAAGAAUUCUUGGAAUGUAUUUGGUCUCCAUUACCACUUCUCCAAUAUCAGCCCCCACCUCUUGACCCAAACGCUCCACUAACACACCACACACGCCACUGUCACCACAAAGCAACACUCGUGGUUCACAGAUGGGUCUCGGAAAUGGAAACCAUCUAACAUGUGCUAACACGGCAACCUCCACCACCCCACCACCACCAGUUGAGUCCCGUCCUGCACGGGGGUAGGCUCCCCGCCCCUGCCUCUAUCUCCGGCAGGAUAUGACAGUUCUGAGUACAACUUCUUCGGACCGCCAGACGGGGCUUAUGCCAAAGACAUUACAUUUCUGCUUUAUAUUCAUCAAAUAAAUGUCAUCUUAAAUUUCACUCAAGUCUGCGAGUCUUCCUGAUAGAAUGUAACUUCUUAACUUUCUUUUGAUUUUCAGGCAAAAUAUGACCCGCGCAUGACUCAUGACAUGAUUCAUCCAGUUUUUUUGGUAGGUUGUUAAGGCGAAAUAAAAGCAGUUGGCAUGACAUUUCCUGGGAGGAAGCAAUCAUUUCACACCUUUUUAUUGUUAAAAGUCUGUUCUUCCUAUAUCAUCCAUCUCCUUCUCAACGAACUGAUGACGAUGUUGACAGCUCAAGCCAACAAGCAAAUCAAUCUACCGAUUCUGUGCAAUAGUUAGUAUCUAUCAAUACAUCUCUUUCUCCUCACUCUGUUUGAGCUCUUAACUUUAGACUUGCCUUUAAUGGAACCUUUGGUUAAUUUUAUUUUACCCGUGUUACUGCUAGCAGCCACUCUGACCCAUUUGCAAACAUUCUGGUAGCUUUACAGAAGCAACAGUUUAUGGAUAUCAGCCGUCAGCCACCCUGCCCUCUGGAGGGGCAUUAAAAAAACAUAUCUGUCAACUAAUUCAGACAGCAGUGACUAACAUGAGUUAAAGAGUAAACCUUGAACCUUUAUCAACUACAGUAUAGUGAGGUUAUUUACAACUCAGAUCUU